GCAGGAGGUAGCACUCAAAACAGCACCAACGUGCAAAUGGUAGACAGCCGAAUCAGCUGUAAGGAGGAACUUCUCUUGGGCAGAACGAGGACUUCCAAAAACUACAAUAUGAUGACUGUAUCAGGUUAAGAUAUAGUCUGUGGAUGGGUCAUCUUACAAUGAUGGAUAAAUUUGAUUUUUGCUUUGGGUGGGCUCCUCUUGGGGAUGGAUUAUGGAAUUUAAACCAUGUCACAGCUAUGAAGAUCUGGCACAAGAUAGAGUGGUAAAAAAAAAAUUUUUUUAAGCGACAGUGCCAUAGUUUGGACAGUACCUUUCAAUGAUUAAUUUUAAUAGCCUGUGAGUCCAAGUAAAUGAUCACUUUAUUUGCUAGGGAGGGAAGUCCUAGGUUGGUUUCAGUUUCUCCCAGACAUACCUGAAUUUUUACAUCAGUCCCUUUAAAGAAAAUCUGUAUUUCAAAGAACCUUUCUCUGCAGCAAAUCUCGCAGAGGAAUUUGCACUAUUACACUUAAAUUGUUACUGUUAACCUUUUUGGCAGCUCUUUUAGUCUAAAGAAAGAAAAAAAAAGUAGCCGUCCGCCCCUCACGCCCUCUCUUCCUCUCAGCCUUCUGCCCGGAGAGGAAGCCCGGGGUGUCCGCUCCGCCGUCUGGGCCGCGCUACGGAGCCCCGGCCGCCCCCGGCCGUCCCCGCACGCCGUCCCCAUGCAUCCCUUCUACACCCGGGCCGCCACCAUGAUAGGCGAGAUCGCCGCCGCUGUGUCCUUCAUCUCCAAGUUCCUCCGCACCAAGGGGCUCACGAGCGAGCGACAGCUGCAGACCUUCAGCCAGAGCCUGCAGGAGCUGCUGGCAGAACAUUAUAAACAUCACUGGUUCCCAGAAAAGCCAUGCAAGGAAUCAGGUAACCCUUGUAUUCGCAUCAACCAUAAAAUGGAUCCUCUGAUUGGACAGGCAGCACAGCGGAUUGGACCGAGCAGUCAGGAGCUGUUCAGGCUUCUCCCAAGUGAGCUCACACUCUGGGUUGACCCCUGCGAAGUGUCCUACAGAAUUGGAGAGGAUGGCUCCAUCUGUGUGCUGUAUGAAGCCUCACCAGCAGGAGGUAGCACUCAAAACAGCACCAACGUGCAAAUGGUAGACAGCCGAAUCAGCUGUAAGGAGGAACUUCUCUUGGGCAGAACGAGGACUUCCAAAAACUACAAUAUGAUGACUGUAUCAGGUUAAGAUAUAGUCUGUGGAUGGGUCAUCUUACAAUGAUGGAUAAAUUUGAUUUUUGCUUUGGGUGGGCUCCUCUUGGGGAUGGAUUAUGGAAUUUAAACCAUGUCACAGCUAUGAAGAUCUGGCACAAGA